rnacentral:tRNA from 1 species
GCCGGCGUGGUGAAACUGGUAGACAUACUGUGUUCAGGGCGCAGCGCUCGCAAGGGCAUGAGAGUUCGAAUCUCUCCGCCGGCA